rnacentral:SRP_RNA from 1 species
GGCGGCGGCGGCGGCGGUAAGUGGCGGCGGCGGCGGCGAGGAGGUGGCGGCGGGCACGUUCCGACGCUUUGUCGUGCCGAGC